CGAUGAAACCGGGUGCUUGCACCGGGUGGAUUAGUGGCGAACGGGUGAGUAUCACGUGAGUAACCUGCCCUUGACUCUGGGAUAAGCCUGGGAAACUGGGUCUAAUACCGGAUAUGACCAGUCCUCGCAUGGGGUGCUGGUGGAAAGAUUUUAUCGGUCUUGGAUGGACUCGCGGCCUAUCAGUUUGUUGGUGAGGUAAUGGCUCACCAAGGCGAUGACGGGUAGCCGGCCUGAGAGGGUGACCGGCCACACUGGGACUGAGACACGGCCCAGACUCCUACGGGAGGCAGCAGUGGGGAAUAUUGCACAAUGGGCGCAAGCCUGAUGCAGCGACGCCGCGUGCGGGAUGACGGCCUUCGGGUUGUAAACCGCUUUCAGCAGGGAAGAAGCUUUUUGUGACGGUACCUGCAGAAGAAGCGCCGGCUAACUACGUGCCAGCAGCCGCGGUAAUACGUAGGGCGCGAGCGUUAUCCGGAAUUAUUGGGCGUAAAGGGCUCGCAGGCGGUUUGCCACGUCUGCUGUGAAAGCCCGGGGCUUAACUCCGGGUGUGCAGUGGGUACGGGUAGACUAGAGUGCAGUAGGGGAGACUGGAAUUCCUGGUGUAGCGGUGAAAUGCGCAGAUAUCAGGAAGAACACCGAUGGCGAAGGCAGGUCUCUGGGCUGUUACUGACGCUGAGGAGCGAAAGCAUGGGGAGCGAACAGGAUUAGAUACCCUGGUAGUCCAUGCCGUAAACGUUGGGCACUAGGUGUGGGGGACAUUCCACGUUUUCCGCGCC
rnacentral:rRNA from 1 species